rnacentral:rRNA from 1 species
CACGUAGGGGGCGAGCGUUGUCCGGAUUUAUUGGGCGUAAAGGGCUCGUAGGCGGCUCAGUAAGUCGGGUGUGAAACCUCCAGGCUCAACCUGGAGACGCCACUCGAUACUGCUGUGGCUAGAGUCCGGUAGGGGAGCAUGGAAUUCCUGGUGUAGCGGUGAAAUGCGCAGAUAUCAGGAAGAACACCAAUGGCGAAGGCAGCACUCUGGGACGUGACUGACGCUGAGACGCGAAAGCGUGGGGAGCAAACAGG